UACGAAGGGGGCUAGCGUUGUUCGGAAUUACUGGGCGUAAAGCGCACGUAGGCGGGUCGUUAAGUCAGGGGUGAAAUCCCAGAGCUCAACUCUGGAACUGCCUUUGAUACUGGCGACCUAGAGUCCGGAAGAGGUUAGUGGAAUUCCCAGUGUAGAGGUGAAAUUCGUAGAUAUUGGGAAGAACACCAGUGGCGAAGGCGGCUAACUGGUCCGGUACUGACGCUGAGGUGCGAAAGCGUGGGGAGCAA
rnacentral:rRNA from 1 species